CCGGGUGCUUACACAUGCAGUCGAGCGGAAAGGCCACUUCGGUGGUACUCGAGCGGCGAGCGGGUAAACGUGAGUAUCUGCCCCUGGCUUUGGGAUAGCCACCGGAAACGGUGAUUAAUACCGGAUAUGACCACUUCUCGCAUGGGUUGUGGUGGAAAGUUUUUCGGCCAGGAAUGUGCUCGCGGCCUAUCAGCUUGAUGGUGAGGUAAUGGCUCACCAUGGCUUCGACGGGUAGCCGGCCUGAGAGGGUGACCGGUCACACUGGGACUGAGACACGGCCCAGACUCCUACGGGAGGCAGCAGUGGGGAAUAUUGGACAAUGGGCGGAAGCCUGAUCCAGCAACGCCGCGUGAGGGAUGACGGCCUUCGGGUUGUAAACCUCUUUCAGUACCGACGAAGCGCAAGUGACGGUAGGUACAGAAGAAGCACCGGCCAACUACGUGCCAGCAGCCGCGGUAAUACGUAGGGUGCGAGCGUUGUCCGGAAUUAUUGGGCGUAAAGGGC
rnacentral:rRNA from 1 species